CAAUAGCGUAUAUUAAAGUUGUUGCAGUUAAAAAGCUCGUAGUUGGAUUUCUGGUGGGAGCGAUCGGUCUGGCGCUUAGCGCGAGUACUUGCAUCGUCUCCGGCCAUCCUUGGGGAGUGUCUGUCUGGCAUUAGGUUGUCGGGCAGAGGAUCCUCAUCGUUUACUGUGAAAAAAUUAGAGUGUUCAAAGCAGGCUUAUGCCGUUGAAUAUAUUAGCAUGGAAUAAUAAGAUAGGACUUUGGUACUAUUUUGUUGGUUUGCGCACCAAAGUAAUGAUUAAUAGGGACAGUUGGAGGUAUUCGUAUUCCGUUGUCAGAGGUGAAAUUCUUGGAUUUACGGAAGACGAACUACUGCGAAAGCAUUUACCAAGGAUGUUUUCAUUAA
rnacentral:rRNA from 1 species